rnacentral:rRNA from 1 species
UACAGAGGUCCCAAGCGUUACUGAGAAUCACUGGGUUUAAAGGGUGCGUAGGUGGUCCGUUAAGUCAGUUGUGAAAUCCCCGGGCUCAACCCGGGAACUGCUUCUGAUACUGGCGGACUUGAGGCCAGUAGGGGUCACUAGAACUGACGGUGGAGCGGUGAAAUGCGUAGAUAUCGUCAGGAAUGCCGGUGGUGAAGACGGGUGACUGGGCUGGUUCUGACACUGAGGCACGAAAGCGUGGGAGCGAACGGG